rnacentral:rRNA from 1 species
AGAGUUUGAUCCUGGCUCAGAACGAACGCUGGCGGCGUGCUUAACACAUGCAAGUCGAGUGCGCGUCUGUAGCAAUACAGAUGGCGCACGGCGCACGGGUGCGUAACACGUGGGCAAUCUGCCCUUCGAUGGGGAAUAACUCCGGGAAACCGAAGCUAAUUCCGCAUAACAUUCCUUGGACUUCGGUUCGAGGAUUCAAAGCCGUAAGGCGUCGAAGGAGGAGCCCGCGCCCGAUUAGCUAGUUGGUGAGGUAACGGCUCACCAAGGCAAUGAUCGGUAGCUGGUCUGAGAGGAUGGCCAGCCACACUGGAACUGAGACACGGUCCAGACUCCUACGGGAGGCAGCAGUGGGGAAUCUUGCGCAAUGGGCGAAAGCCUGACGCAGCGACGCCGCGUGGGGGAUGAAGCAUUUCGGUGUGUAAACCCCUUUCGACUGGGACGAAUGCCUCGCAAGAGGAGUGACGGUACCAGUAGAAGAAGCCCCGGCUAACUACGUGCCAGCAGCCGCGGUAAGACGUAGGGGGCCAGCGUUGUUCGGAAUUACUGGGUGUAAAGGGUUCGUAGGCGGUGUGGCAAGUCGGGAGUGAAAUCUAUGGGCUUAACUCAUAGGCUGCUUCCGAAACUGCUGUGCUUGAGUGUGGGAGAGGCGCGUGGAAUUGCAGGUGUAGCGGUGAAAUGCGUAGAUAUCUGCAGGAACACCCGUGGCGAAAGCGGCGCGCUGGACCACAACUGACGCUGAGGAACGAAAGCUAGGGGAGCAAACAGGAUUAGAUACCCUGGUAGUCCUAGCCCUAAACGAUCAGGA